rnacentral:rRNA from 1 species
AAAGCUUGCUUCUUUGCUGGCGACCGGCGCACGGGUGAGUAACACGUAUCCAACCUGCCCUUUACUCGGGGAUAGCCUUUCGAAAGAAAGAUUAAUACCCGAUAGUAUAUAUUUCCCGCAUGGGUUUUAUAUUAAAGAAAUUCGGUAUGAGAUGGGGAUGCGUUCCAUUAGUUUGUUGGGGGGGUAACGGCCCACCAAGACUACGAUGGAUAGGGGUUCUGAGAGGAAGGUCCCCCACAUUGGAACUGAGACACGGUCCAA